UGUUUCUCUUACAAUGUUUGGAAUUGUGAUUUGAAAUAUAGAGCUUGGGCACUUGGCAAAUAAUAGUUUGGUAAGUGCACAGUCUACAACUCAGCCUUAUACUUCUGAUUUUGUUUGCAUAUUGUUCCCGAAAUGGGAAAAGAAAGGCCAAAAGUUAUCUAAUGCAGCAGCCUUAUACGAGUCAUUCAAAGCUUAUGAAGAAGACUCCAGGAGCAACUUUAAGAAACAAGAAAGAAAUUAUCAGUGUCGUGUGUCGGUCAUCAGACAACUUUUCUUGACCGCCAACUCCAAGCGAUCUGAUAGAUUAUUGUAUAAUUGCGCCGUUGGAAUUGUG
rnacentral:lncRNA from 1 species